UCUAACAGUGCGUGCUAAUAAUUAAUAAGAUGCAUUCAGAACUUCCCACGUAAGCAAAAUGUGUGGCUUGGGGAUGAAUAAGAGGCGGUGAAGGGGGAAGACAAUGAAAUUCACCUUAAAAUUUCAAGGAGAAAAUAAAAAUCUGAAGACUGUAUCACCAGCAUGGAAAAAAAAAUCCACCUUUCCAGAGCUCCUGUCUGUCUGCAUGACCUCUUUGGGAAAAGAAAAAGACCACAUCUCAGGAUAAAACAAAUGCCUAUUUCCACUCUAAUCCAGCUUUCCCCAUGUUCCAACAGCCCUACAUGGGACAGCUCCACAUGCAAACUCGCAUCCAGAUCCAAUAAUUGCCCUUUAAGAAGCUUAUCAUGCAUUGAAGAAUGUCAGCUUGACAAUCUGUAGGUGGCGAAUGGCAGCAUGUUGAUUUUCAAAUGAAGAAGCUGAGACAGAGAGUGCCAGCUGGAACGCAAUGUGUUACUUCUUAUGGCAGCAACGAUGUAACUCGAAACACCAUCAUCUAUGGAAAGCUUAGCACAAUUGGCCAAGAAAGUGCUUUUCUUUACAUUUACAUUCAAUACUGUCACCUGGAAACAAAAAUUUCCAAGGUACCAGCUGCUAAUUUGUUGAAUAUUCCUUUUGUGCGUUUGAUAGAAGCACUGUCCAAGUUUCUUCAGUAUUAUCACCAUGACAACAAAAAUUUAUGUCUACUUUUUUGCAUAUUAGUUGCUCCAGAAAAGUCCAGAAUGACAAGAAUGUCCGUCAGCUUGCCAACCACGGCUCUAAAGGGAUCUCCAUUUUCCUCUCACUCUUAAAUUCUUUGGUGACAAUAAAAAAAAAGCAGGAAGAUUUCUGUUUUCCA
rnacentral:lncRNA from 1 species